UUAAAGGAUGUGAAAAUAAGCAGCCACAGGUUGAAGAAGAAAUGGAGAAGCACAGAUGUAAUAGCACAGAAUUAUCAGGAACCCUAACUGAUGGCACUACUAUUGGCAAUGAUGAUGAUGGACUAAAUCAGCAGAUUCCUAGGAAGGAAAAUGGAGAGCAUGACAGGCCUGCAGAUAAAGCAUCUAAUGAAAAGAACGAGGUCAAAAACCAAAUAUAUCCUGAGGCUGACUUUGCUGACUCAAUGGAGCCAUCUGAAAUAGCCUCAGAGGAUUGUGAGUUGUCUCACUCUGUUUAUGAGAAUUUUAUGUUGCUGAUUGAACAACUUAGAAUGGAGUGUAAAGAUUCUGUUAGCCUACCAAGAAUCCAAGACACAUUUUGUUUGUGUGAACGCUUACUGAAACUUAAGAAUAAUCACUGUGACCAACUUACAGUAAAAAUUAAACAAAUGGAAAAUGUGGUCAGUGUACUACAAAAUGAGCUAUCUGAAACAAAAAAGACAAAAUUACAGUUAGAACUUCAAAAAAUUGAAUGGGAGAAAGAGCUGUACAAUUUGAGACUUGCCUUAAAACAAGAAAAUGAGGAGAAAAGAAAUGCCAAUAUGUUGUAUAAUAAAGAUAGUGAACGGUUAAGAAUAAAAGAAGAGGAGUGUGGGAAAGUGGUUGAAACAAAGCAACAACUUAAAUGGAAUCUGAGAAGACUUGUUAAGGAAUUGAGGACAGUAAGAAAUAACUUGGAUCUGGUUGUGCAGGAGAGAAACGAUGCCCAGAAGCAACUUUCUGAAGAACAGAAUGCGAGAAUAUUACAAGAUCAGAUUCUGACGAGUAAAGAAAAGGAACUAGAAAUGGCUCAAAAGAAAAUGAAUUCUGAGAUUUCUCAUAGGCAUCUGAAAGAAAAGGAUCUCUUUCAUGAAAAUUGCAUGUUGCAGGAAGAAAUUGCCUUGCUGAGACUGGAAAUAGAUACAAUAAAACAUCAGAAAAAGCAAAAGGAAAAGAAAUAUUUUGAGAACAUUGAGGUUGUGAAAGAAAAGAAUGAUAACCUUCAAAAAAUUAUAAAACUAAAUGAGGAAACAUUAACAGAAACAAUACUCCAGUACAGUGGACAGCUGAACAAUCUGACAACUGAGAACAAAAUACUCAAUUCUGAACUGGAGAAUGGGAAACAGAACCAAGAAAGACUGGAAAUAGAAAUGGAAUCAUACCGUUGUAGACUGGCUGCUGCUCUAUGUGACUGUGAUCAAAGUCAGACAGCAAGAGACCUAAAACUUGAUUUCCAGAGAACAAGACAAGAGUGGGUUCGUUUACAUGACAAAAUGAAGGUUGAUAUGUCUGGCCUACAAGCUAAGAAUGAGAUUCUUUCUGAAAAACUUUCUAAUGCUGAAAGUAAAAUCAACAGCCUACAAAUUCAGCUCCAUAACACAAGAGAUGCUCUUGGAAGAGAGAGUUGGAUUUUGGAACGUGUGCAAAGAGACCUCAGCCAAACACAGUGUCAGAAGAAAGAAACUGAACAAAUGUACCAAAUUGAACAAAGCAAACUGAAGAAAUACAUUGCCAAGCAGGAAUCUGUAGAGGAGAGAUUAUCUCAACUACAAAGUGAAAAUACGUUGCUUCGACAGCAACUGGAUGAUGCUCACAAGAAAGCUAACAGUCAAGAAAAGACAAUCAGUACUAUCCAAGACCAGUUUCAUUCUGCUGCCAAAAAUCUUCGAGCUGAGAGUGAAAAGCAGAUUCUUUCACUACAAGAGAAGAACAAGGAGCUGAUGGAUGAAUAUAAUCAUUUAAAAGAAAGAAUGGAUCAAUGUGAGAAAGACAAAGCAGGAAGAAAAGUAGUCAUGAGAGAAUUCCACCAAGAAUGGACCGAUCUCCUAAAACAACAACCUACAUCAGAGGCUACCUCACGUUGUCACAUUAAUUUAGAUGAGACACAGGAUUCAAAGAAGAAAUUGGGUCAAAUCAGAAGUGAAGUUGACCUUACAGAAGCACAGGAAACUGUACCUUCACGAUGUCUACAUCUGGAUGCAGAGAAUGUUCUUCAACUUCAACAGACAUUAUUCUCUAUGAAAGCAAUACAAAAGCAAUGUGAAACACUACAGAAGAAUAAGAAGCAGCUGAAACAAGAAGUAGUAAACCUCAAAAGUUAUAUGGAGAGAAAUAUGUUAGAACAUGGUGAAGCUGAACAGCAUAAACUGUUGAUUGAAGAAAGAGCAAGGAAGGAGACAGAAGAAAAAUUAAACGAAGCCGUUCUCACCUUGCAGAAACAAGCAGCAGUAUCUCAAGAACAGUUAGCACAGUUAAGGGAGGAUAAUACUACUUCAAUAAAAACUCAGAUGGAACUCACAAUCAAAGAUCUGGAAUCUGAAAUCUCCAGAAUAAAAACUUCGCAAGCCGACUGUAAUAAAACCGAAUUGGAAAGAUAUAAGGAACUCUACCUAGAAGAAGUAAAAGUUAGAGAAUCCUUGUCAAAUGAACUCAGUAGAACUAAUGAGAUGAUAGCAGAGGUCAGUACGCAACUUACUGUGGAGAAAGAGCAGACCAGAUCCAGAUCUCUAUUCACUGCUUAUACUACAAGGCCAGUCCUAGAGUCACCUUGCAUUGGAAAUCUUAAUGACAGUGAAGGUCUCAACAGAAAACAUAUUCCAAGAAAAAAGAGAUCUGCUCUUAAGAGCGUGGAGAGCUACUUGUUGAAGGUUAGCUAUGUUUUUUCCUUUGGCGUUCAGAUUUCUGAUAUAAUUCUUAUAUGUUAUUUGGUAAAAUACUCAGUUACUUAAUUGGCUUGUGUAUGGUAAGUAAAAGUAAUAAUUACCUGUGUUAAUAAAGAGAGGAGACAGAAAUUUUAGUUAUUUUUAAGUCUCUGGAGCUCUCAUUCAUAAGAGAUUACUCCUUUGUUAACUUUAUUCAAUAAAUGUAACCAAACUGACAUAUUUUAAAUUUCUUUAAAAACUGCAUUUAAGUUAGAUUUUAACCAAAGGUUUACUUUGAUGUGCUUUGUCUUACUAAUUGAUUUUAGUUUGUCUGGGGUUCACUUUUAAAGGGUAUAGUGUGCCUGGGGUCACUUUUAAAGUUUUUCUGCAUCAUCUCAGGUUUUCUACCCCUCAUCAUAUGUUAAUGAUUGGUGUCCAAACACUAACCACCCAUGGAUGUUUAUUAUUUAAAAGGACCCAAGGUGAAUACUUUUAUAUGUUAUAUAAACCUGCAACACUUGAUUAAUCUGUUCUUUAAGUUAAAAGUUUUGUGAUUUUCUUACAUGAGUACAUCUGUAAUUGCUAUUGCACUUAAUAGUGUUUUAAUCCCAAUUUUAGUAAAAUGUGUCUAUUGCUAUGCAGUAGUACAGUGGUUUUGAAAUAGUUAAAUCAAAUAAAUAUUUGUAUUUUUAAAGU
rnacentral:sRNA from 1 species